UACAUGGGGUGCAAACGUUGCUCGGAAUUAUUGGGCGUAAAGCGCGCGUAGGCGGUUACUCAAGUCGGAUGUGAAAGCCCUCGGCUUAACUGAGGAAGUGCACCCGAAACUGAGUAGCUAGAGUACCAAAGAGGGUCGCGGAAUUCCCGGUGUAGAGGUGAAAUUCGUAGAUAUCGGGAGGGACACCGGUGGCGAAGGCGGCGACCUGGGUGGAUACUGACGCUGAGGCGCGAAAGCGUGGGGAGCAAACAGG
rnacentral:rRNA from 1 species